AUCUUGGUACAGUGCUAGUGUUUCUUAUUUUUAAUUCGUGGAAUUUUCAGCCGAUUUCUAGGCAAUUUUGUUGAUUGGAAGCUUAACAUUCAGGCACCGUACAGGACUACUUUAUUUAAAUAAAUGUUUGUAUAACCACCGGUACAAUUACGACUUUUAGUUCAGUUAUCAAACCUCCAAAGUCCGUCAAAAUGCCCGACUUUUGUUCCGCUUAUGGCUGUUCAAAUGAACGAAGCAUACAAACCAGAUCCCACGGAAUUACCUUCCACAGGUUUCCCAAAGACGGAGGACUGAGGCAGCGGUGGGAGCAGGCCGUGCGACGGGCUGGCUUUGUUGUAACUCGGAGGUCCUUACUGUGCAGCGAGCACUUCAAGCCAGAGGACUUUGACAGGACGGGGCAGACUGUUCGGCUCAGACCUGAAGUUAUUCCAUCUGUCUUCAACUUCCCAACAUCUCUCCGAAAGCGGGUAGCAGCGAGGACCACGCUACCUGCCAAGACAGCAGAGGAGAGUCCGCUGGAGGACCUGACUCGGCUUUCCUCAGAAGUUAAACCUCAGACGAAUGUUGACCACAAUUAUGCCUUCCCUCUGAAGGCGAGGCUCAGUGAAGCCUUGGUGAGGAUGGAAAACCUGGAGCAGGAGAAGCACAAUAAUAAGAUUCCAGAGCUGAGGGCAAAGAAAAACCUGGGAGGAUCUGAAGGAGAAGAAGCUCCUUAAUGAAAACCUUCAAGACAGAUUGGAAUGCUCCUCAGGAACGAAUUGAAUCAGGUGACAUCACUGUGAUGACAUCACACCGGUGUGAGGCACCAGAAUCAAACGAAGAAAGCAGACCCGGUUUUCCAGGAGAUGGACCAGGAAUGUUUUAGACCCCAUCUCUGAAUUAACCCUGAUCCUGACCUGUACGCAGCCUUUAAGAGAAGGACCAGCAGCUUGGUGACCCAGAACGGAGCUCCAUUCUGGACCAGAAGGAACCUGGACCCUACAGAUCCUCUGGGACCGAAGCUGGUACUUCCAUGGUGACCAGGGUGAAUCAGGAUCAGGAAGGAAACUCAGCUCGGACUGCAGACCAGAAGCCAAAGAAGAAUUCGCUCACAAAUAGAAGUGACAGUAACAUGUAGAUGAUCCGCCGUUAUCCUGACGCAGGUCCUUUUAAUGUGACUUGUGCAGGAUGGUCUUUAAAUCCUGAUUAAAGAAACAUCACAGAGUCCUUGUAGGUGCAACGUCAUGCGCCAGCAAAGCAUGUGGGGAAUGUUUCACAGCUUUCUUCCUGAGAAACGUGGGUCCAUGUUCGCACCUGAUCACAUGAAAACUGCUGGAUGGGAGCAGGAGGUCAGCUGGUGAAAUGCUACUGUUCCUGCUAGAGAGGUUCGGAGGACCAGACUAGUUGCAGCGUAUCUACAUUUCAGCUGGAAAUCAUCUCAAUGCCUGUUUUUGUGGUAGUUUUGGUUUGAUAAUGUUUCAGAUGUUUUCAGUGUGUAACAGAUUUGUUCAUCUCUGGAAGUCUUCCUGAGUCAGUGCGCUGGUUUCAGUAGAGAAUCAUGUCUGCUCUUACCGCAGGAACGUUUCCGUUUAAAACCAGUUUUUACUUUCCAGCCUUUUGUUGCUCCCGUUCCAGCUCGUUUUCCAUCACGUGGUGAAACGUCUCC